rnacentral:rRNA from 1 species
UACGGGGGGGGGCAAGCGUUGUUCGGAAUUACUGGGCGUAAAGGGCUCGUAGGCGGCCAACUAAGUCGGAUGUGAAAUCCCCAGGCUCAACCUGGGAACUGCAUCCGAUACUGGAUGGCUUGGAUUCGGGAGAGGGAUGCAGAAUUCCAGGUGUAGCGGUGAAAUGCGUAGAUAUCUGGAGGAAUACCGGUGGCGAAGGCGGCAUCCUGGACCGACAUUGACGCUGAUGAGCGAAAGCUAGGGGAGCAAACGGG